rnacentral:tRNA from 1 species
GUUCAGUUAACUUAAUAUACUAAAAGUAUAAGACUCUUAAUCUUAAAAAGGCAGAGAAUAACUGCCACAGAACA